rnacentral:rRNA from 1 species
UACGAAGGUCCCAAGCGUUGUUCGGAUUCACCGGGCGUAAAGGGUGCGUAGGCGGUUUGACAAGUCUGAUGUGAAAUCCCGCAGCUUAACUGCGGAACUGCAUUGGAAACUGUUUGACUAGAGGAAUGGAGGGGAGACUGGAAUGCUUGGUGUAGCAGUGAAAUGCGUAGAUAUCAAGCGGAACACCAGUGGCGAAGGCGAGUCUCUGGACAUUUCCUGACGCUGAGGCACGAAAGCCAGGGGAGCAAACGGG